rnacentral:tRNA from 1 species
GGCUCGUUGGUCUAGGGGUAUGAUUCUCGCUUUGGGGUGUGGCGGUCCUGGGUUCGACUCCCCAGACGAGCCC